rnacentral:tRNA from 1 species
GCGCGAGUGGUGAAAUUGGCAGACACGCAGGAUUUAGGUUCCUGUGCCUUCGGGCGUGCGGGUUCAAGUCCCGCCUUGCGCACCA